rnacentral:rRNA from 1 species
UACGUAGGGUGCGAGCGUUGUCCGGAAUUACUGGGCGUAAAGAGCUCGUAGGUGGUUUGUCGCGUUGUUCGUGAAACUCACAGCUUAACUGUGGGCGUGCGGGCGAUACGGGGCAGACUGGAGUACUGCAGGGGAGACUGGAAUUCCUGGUGUAGCGGUGGAAUGCGCAGAUAUCAGGAGGAACACCGGUGGCGAAGGCGGGUCUCUGGGCAGUGAACUGACGCUGGAGGAGCGAAAGCGUGGGGAGCGAACAGG